UGUGCGCAUUCGAUUAGAGUUUGAUCCUGGCUCAGAAUGAACGUUGGCGGCGUGGAUUAGGCAUGCAAGUCGUACGGGCCGCAAGGCCAGUGGCGUAAGGGUGAGUAAGGCGACGGUAACCAACCCCAUGAUUGGGUAUAGCCGUGGGAAACUGCGGGUAAUCCCCAGCGACGUCUCCGGGGGGCAUCUCCUGGAGACCAAAGCUCCGGCGUCGUGGGACGGGCUGUCGUGGUAUUAGGUAGUUGGCGGGGUAACGGCCCACCAAGCCUUUGAUGCCUACCGGGCGUGCGAGCGUGGCCCGGCACACUGGGACUGAGACACUGCCCAGACUCCUACGGGAGGCUGCAGUCGAGAAUCUUCGGCAAUGGGCGCAAGCCUGACCGAGCGACGCCGCGUGGAGGACGAAGGCCUUCGGGUUGUAAACUCCUGUCGAGGGGGAAGAUGCACCGCAAGGGGCUUGACUGAUCCCUGGAGGAAGCACGGGCUAAGUUCGUGCCAGCAGCCGCGGUAAGACGAACCGUGCGAACGUUAUUCGGAUCACUGGGCUUAAAGCGCGUGUAGUGGGACGGCACGUCGGUCGCUGAAAGCUCUGCUCACCGGGAAGUGCGCCGAUACGACCGGCUGGAGGACGUAGGGGACUGGAACUCCGUGAGCGGUGAAUGCGUGAGAUCGGAAGGACG
rnacentral:rRNA from 1 species